UAAUGGCGGGAAAUAAUCCUUUUUUUUGUGAGUUCUUCCAAAGCUAAUAAAACAUCAUAAUGUUUGAUUUAUUGUGGGGAUUUAUACUGGCGCUGAUUGAUAGUUGAUCGAAUAAUGCGUAGGCUAUGAUGGCAAAGAAAUACGACCUCGUAAACUCUUUUGCAGGCAUUUUCCGAAAACCUGAAAACAUUUUAUAGCUUAUAAAUUAUUCGUAAUGUAAUUCGGCGUCAUCGUACAGGCAAUGAUGAGAUCAUCUUGUAAAAGGCCAGAUAAAUAAGAAGAGAACAAAGAGAAGAGGGUGUGUACAAACUUCGGACUUGAUAACAUCAAACGGUGCUAGGGUCCAAACGAUGGCAAUACACUCUCGAGAAAACGCACCUGAGUCUUCCAUUUCGAAUCAAUUAAACUCAUUUUUUUGUAAUAAUGUCGCUUUGCUCUUGGUUGCUCUGUUUUUAAUGUAAGUGUUUUAUAAACAAUUCGAAUUCAAUUCGAACUCGAAUAGAGUCGAGAAAUCAAAAUCGAUACGAAGUUGGACAAAGCGACAAACUGGUGGGUCGUCUUAUCGCCCAUGCAGGUCUUAGGAAGACGACGACGAAGCUUCGACCGAUUGAGAUAUUUUUAAAUGGAAUGGGCUGUCACGUACCUAAAAGUUGCCCUUUGUGUAACUUACGUAGGAAAUUGGAUUUUGCAGUUUUGCAGUUUGUUAAACUUCGUUUUUGUAUUUUUCAAACAGAAUGAACUUUAAUGAAGGAUAAGAGCCGUUAAAGUAGGUUUUUUCAACUGAUAAAAAAAUCUGAAACUGUAGAUUGUUUUGCUGUUUUUUCUAUAACUAAAAAUUUUUUUAAUUUUA